rnacentral:rRNA from 1 species
UACGUAGGGCGCAAGCGUUGUCCGGAAUUAUUGGGCGUAAAGAGCUCGUAGGCGGCUUGUCACGUCGGGUGUGAAAGCCCCGGGGGCUUAACCCCCGGGUCUGCAUUCGAUACGGGCUAGGCUAGAGUGUGGUAGGGGAGAUCGGAAUUCCUGGUGUAGCGGUGAAAUGCGUAGAUAUCUGGAGGAACACCGAUGGCGAAGGCAGCCCCCUGGGCUAACACUGACGCUCAUGCACGAAAGCGUGGGGAGCAAACAGG